AGAGUUUGAUCAUGGCUCAGGACGAACGCUGACGGUGUGCUUUAGGCAUGCAAGUCGAACGAGAAAGCCCUUCGGGGUGAGUAGAGUGGCGAACGGGUGAGUAACACGUGGGCAACCUGCCCCUCGCAGGGGGAUAACCGGAGGAAACUCCGGCUAAUACCCCGUACGCUCUCAGGGUCGCAUGGCCUUGAGAGGAAAGGUAGCUUCGGCCAUCCGGCGAGGGAUGGGCCCGCGGUCCAUUAGCUAGUUGGUGAGGUAACGGCCCACCAAGGCGACGAUGGAUAGCUGGUCUGAGAGGACGAUCAGCCACACUGGGACUGAGACACGGCCCAGACUCCUACGGGAGGCAGCAGUCGGGAAUCUUGCGCAAUGGGCGAAAGCCUGACGCAGCAACACCGUGUGGGCGACGAAGGCCUUCGGGUCGUAAAGCCCUGUUGUUGGGGACGAAGGGCGAAGGGUUAAUAGCCCCUAGCCUGACGGUACCCUUCGAGGAAGCCCCGGCUAACUACGUGCCAGCAGCCGCGGUAAUACGUAGGGGGCGAGCGUUGUCCGGAAUUAUUGGGCGUAAAGAGCGUGUAGGCGGUUCGGUAAGUCUGCCGUGAAACCCUGGGGCUCAACCCUAGGCGUGCGGUGGAUACUGCCGGGCUAGAGGGUGGUAGAGGCGAGUGGAAUUCCCGGUGUAGCGGUGAAAUGCGCAGAUAUCGGGAGGAACACCAGUAGCGAAGGCGGCUCGCUGGGCCAUUCCUGACGCUGAGACGCGAAAGCAUGGGGAGCGAACAGGAUUAGAUACCCUGGUAGUCC
rnacentral:rRNA from 1 species